rnacentral:rRNA from 1 species
AGUGAACGCUGGCGGUAGGCCUAACACAUGCAAGUCGAACGGCAGCACAGUAAGAGCUUGCUCUUACGGGUGGCGAGUGGCGGACGGGUGAGGAAUACAUCGGAAUCUACUUUUUCUUGGGGGAUAACGUAGGGAAACUUACGCUAAUACCGCAUACGACCUACGGGUGAAAGCAGUGGAUCUUCGGACCUUGCGCGAUUGAAUGAGCCGAUGUCGGAUUAGCUAGUUGGCGGGGUAAAGGCCCACCAAGGCGACGAUCCGUAGCUGGUCUGAGAGGAUGAUCAGCCACACUGGAACUGAGACACGGUCCAGACUCCUACGGGAGGCAGCAGUGGGGAAUAUUGGACAAUGGGCGAAAGCCUGAUCCAGCCAUACCGCGUGGGUGAAGAAGGCCUUCGGGUUGUAAAGCCCUUUUGUUGGGAAAGAAAAGCAGCAGGUUAAUACCCCGCUGUUCUGACGGUACCCAAAGAAUAAGCACCGGCUAACUUCGUG